rnacentral:RNase_P_RNA from 2 species
GAAGCGCGACAGACUGCCGCUGGUGCAAGGAUCGAAAGGUCGCACUGGAGGAAGGUCCGGACUGCAAAGAGCGGCGUAGGAGGUAACGCCUCUCCACCGUGAGGUGAGGAUCAGAGCCACAGAGACGAGCCGGUUAAGUCCGGGUGAAACGCGGCAAUCUCUACGUGCAGCAACACCAAAUAGGCCAGCGCCAAGUGCGUGGCGUUAACUAACGCACGAACUUGAUGCGUUGCUCGCGCAAGCUGGCGGGUAGGUGGCACCGAGCCGGGUAGGCGACUCCCGGCCCAGAUGAAUGGCAGUUACUUUGUCUCCUUGACUGGAGGCGAUGCACAGAAUCCGGCCUAUCGUUGCGCUUCACAC